rnacentral:lncRNA from 10 species
CUCAAACAAACAAACAAAAAAGUUACAAAUCAGGACAAUAAAAUGCCAUAAGGAAGGUUGGUAAGGCUCCACCAAUAAUGUGAUAUUUGGUACACAAUACAAAGUUUAAAAAAAAAUUUUCACCAAGCAAAGGGGAAAGUGCAUUCUAUGGAGCAGAAAGAACUUGUGUAGAGAUAGGGGAAGUUGGGACAUUUCUUUCUGAGGGCUGAGGUAGAACACAUGGGGAUUGAUUGGGAGGUGUUGAAUAGCACAGAGAAUGGUGCGUUUGUUUGAUGCAGCUGAAGUUCAGGGUAUUUGGAAUGGGGGUGGAUUCUGGAAAGGUAGGUCGUUAGGAAAGGUAGGUAACAUGUUAAGGAGUUUGAACUUUAUCACAAAAAUAACAGAAUGAGCAAAGGUUUUGAAGCACUGCAUGCCUGAGAGCUUAAUCUGCCAUUUGAACCUUAGCCUGAAGGAAGGUUCAAAUAAGUCAUAAAGUAAUAAAAUACAUUGGGAUGGGCCAGGCACGAUGGUUCACACCUGUAAUCCCAGAAUUUGGGAGGUUGAGGCAGGUGGAUCACUUGAUGUCAGGAGUUUGAGACCAGCCUGGCCAACAGAGUGAAACCCCAACUCUACUAAAAAUACAAAAUUAGCCAG